AAGUGGGCCAUGUAGCAAGGCAUUUUCCACAAGGAGGGUUCAUUGGUGACAGCAAGUGUUACAAGUGUCAUGAAGUUGGCCACACCUCGAAAGGCUGUACGAAUCUAUUCGUGAAUUAACGAAAAACGGAAAGCCGCGUGAACAAUAUAUUCCGGAAGCUGUGACAUGCGAUGAAAAGGAACUGUUUAAGUGGGAUCGUCUGUGGGGAACGCCUUAACAAUUUUGAUAAAGUUGUUCUCCAUCGAAUCCAGGGAAGCAUUUUUCGAAACAGUAUUUUAUGAUUUGAAAAUAUCUAUUGGGUUUGCUUUAGGUUACAGGAAAAGAUGUACCUCAAUACAUAACAUCACUCGAAGAAGCCGGCCUGCGCCCACUACUUCAAAACAUUAAGAAUUCUGACUACAUAAAACCAACACCUGUACAGAAAGCUUCAGUUGCAGUUACUCUUGCCAAAAGAGAUUUGAUUGCUUGUGCUGUCAGGGGCUCCGGCAAAACGGUUUUUAUUUGCUUUUCAACAUCCAUUUCAUAGUGGGACGUAUGGCUUUGAUUAAUAUUGCCAUAAAGACUGCCGAAAAUGGGUGUGGUACGGAAACCCAGAAAUGGGAUGAGUUCAACAUCAAACAUGGAUUAGAAUUUGAGCGGAGGAUGAAGUCUGGAAGUGGUAUAGGAUGGAAGAGUGAGCCUACAGUUGAAAAAACGCAGUGCAUUACCAUUAAGAGUGUUGGUGAAGCUGGGUACUUAAAUGGCCCUAAAGAUGUUUCACUUUGCUGGCAUUGCAGCAAUGAACAUCAUACAUGGACUCUUUAGGAAAGGAUUUUCAGCAUACUGGGAACACAACUAUCAACAAUGCAACAUUCUAUGGGUGCUAUUUUAUCAUUCAAGAGCCUUAUGCAAUGAUUUUCAUCUGCAAUUUGUAUGGCCUUUCCCAAGCUUCUGUCAGAAGUUGAAUCUAUGAGUCAUUAUAGGUUAAUAGUAGUGGAUCUGAAAGAUUCUUGGUUGGGGCAAGACACUGAAUAAAUUGUAAUGAUUGGAU